AAGUCGUAACAAGGUCUCCGUUGGUGAACCAGCGGAGGGAUCAUUACGAAAAGGAGUUCUCGGACUCUUAAACCCUUUGUGAACCUUACCUAUCGUCAGUUGCUUCUGCGGGAGGCCCCUGGGAGGGGCCCCGGGGCCCGGCCUGAGCCGGGCUCCCGCCGGAGGAGCGCAAACCAAACUCUUGCUGUACCUCAGUGGAACAUCCGAGUUAAAAAUAAAAAACAAGUUAAAACUUUCAACAACGGAUCUCUUGGUUCUG
rnacentral:misc_RNA from 1 species